rnacentral:misc_RNA from 1 species
AUGGCGCAAUUGGAACCAAAAUGUUGCUGCAAAGACAAAAUUUCAUUAUCCACAAAAUGUACCGAACUCGAUCCUGCUCUCUCUUUGGAAUUACAAAAAAUCAUCGAGGCGAUUGUCAUAUCUGGAAGAGGAUUGUUAGCUUGCGACGAGUCACCUACAAAUCUGGGUCAGAGGUUUCAAGAUCUCGGUAUAGAAAACACCGAAAUCACAAGAUGUGCUUAUCGAGAAAUGUUGCUGUCCUCGGAUAAGUCUCAGCUCUCUCAAUAUAUAAGUGGCGUGAUUCUGCAUCAUGAAACAAUCUAUCAGAAAACGUCAAAAGACGUGGAAUUUGCAGAGUUAUUGCGUCAAAAGAACAUUGUAGCCGGAGUCAAGGUCGAUCGAGGCUUGGUUCCGCUCUUUGGUACCGAGGACGAGAAAACUACGCAAGGUCUGGAUGACUUAUGGGAAAAUUGUAUUCGCUAUAAAAAGGAGGGCUGCCAUUUCGCCAAGUGGAGAUGCGUUUUUUCAAUUUCGGAACGAUGUCCCAGUCAAUUGGCGAUGAACACCAAUGCAAACGUCCUCGCGAGGUUUGCCAACAUCUGUCAGAGCGCGCGAAUGGUUCCCAUAGUAGAACCGGAAAUAUUGAACAACGGCGAAUACGAUAUAAAUCGAGCUCUGCGAGCUCAUGAAGAGAUGCUGUCCAUUUUAUUCCGUACACUGAACGAGCAUCGCGUGUACCUCGAAGGGAUGGUUUUGAAACCAGCAAUGGUGUUGUCUGGAAUUCAAAAUCCAAGAUGCACAUCACAGAUUGUCGCUGAAUAUACGUUAAAAGCACUACGAAGAACAGUUCCCGCAGCGGUUCCGGCAAUCUUUUUUCUAAGCGGUGGUCAAAGUGAUGAAGAAUCUGUACUAAAUCUUAAUGCAAUUAAUAUGCACGAUGAUAGGAAAAUAUGGAGACUCAGUUUCUGUUACGGACGUGCUCUGCAGAAUUUAGCGAUGAAAAUUUGGAAAAACAAUCCGGAAAAUGUAAAUAAAGCUCAAGCAAUCUUUCUCGAAAGAGCCAAGUUAUGCUCCGAAGCAUCUUUAGGAAAGUUACAAUUUGGAGAGGACAAUACGUGUAUUCGUAGUGUCAACGAAAUUAUUUGAUCAAAAUGCACUCGUCAGUUUCAAUGAAUGUCGAACAAGGUGCCCUUGACUGACCUUUAAAGUGGCGGUUCUCAGCGCGAAGCUCUUGUGCUUGGACUUGCCUGUUCAUGUACUGGUCGAUAUGUCGUCAUCCCCAACGAUGCUCCAAUGCCCUCUUUCCUAGAUGGCUCAUUCAUCAUGUGAUAUAUGCCAGUAACGUAAUAAGUGAAUGUGCUGCAGAACAAUGUCAUUCAAGAAAAUUUACUUUGGUUUAAGAUCAGACAAAAUCACCGACCAUCUGAUCGCACGUUCGUCCGAUACAAGUUGAGUACCCGCAUAAACGAGAGAGCAAGAGCGCAUGCGCGUGACAAAUACACUCGCAAUCAGAAAGCUUUGAAACCGACGACGGCUCGCAUAGUCCCUCUCAGUCGCACUGCAACCGUCAGCUGAGUUGUACGUGGAUUGACAUACGUGCACGAUUUCCUCACACGAUCGAAUUCACAUUUCCACAAGCA